rnacentral:rRNA from 1 species
AUUGAACGCUGGCGGCAUGCCUUACACAUGCAAGUCGAACGGCAGCAUGAUCUAGCUUGCUAGAUUGAUGGCGAGUGGCGAACGGGUGAGUAAUACAUCGGAACGUGCCCUGUAGUGGGGGAUAACUAGUCGAAAGAUUAGCUAAUACCGCAUACGACCUGAGGGUGAAAGUGGGGGACCGCAAGGCCUCAUGCUAUAGGAGCGGCCGAUGUCUGAUUAGCUAGUUGGUGAGGUAAAGUCUCACCAAGGCGACGAUCAGUAGCUGGUCUGAGAGGACGAUCAGCCACACUGGGACUGAGACACGGCCCAGACUCCUACGGGAGGCAGCAGUGGGGAAUUUUGGACAAUGGGCGAAAGCCUGAUCCAGCAAUGCCGCGUGUGUGAAGAAGGCCUUCGGGUUGUAAAGCACUUUUGUCCGGAAAGAAAUGGCUCUGGUUAAUACCUGGGGUCGAUGACGGUACCGGAAGAAUAAGGACCGGCUAACUACGUG